AUGGUAGGAUAGAGGCCUACCAUGGUUUUAACGGGUAACGGGGAAUUAGGGUUCGAUUCCGGAGAGGGAGCCUGAGAAACGGCUACCACAUCCAAGGAAGGCAGCAGGCGCGCAAAUUACCCAAUCCCGACACGGGGAGGUAGUGACAAUAAAUAACAAUAUGGGGCUCUUACGAGUCUCGUAAUUGGAAUGAGUACAAUUUAAAUCUCUUAACGAGGAACAAUUGGAGGGCAAGUCUGGUGCCAGCAGCCGCGGUAAUUCCAGCUCCAAUAGCGUAUAUNAAAGUUGUUGCAGUUAAAAAGCUCGUAGUUGAAUUUCGGAAUCUGUCCGUCGGUCGGGCUUCACUGUCCGUACUGGUGUGAUGGGUUUCUACCUUCUGAAUAACCGGCAUGUCAUUAAUUUGGUGCGCCGGGGAAGCAGAACUAUUACCUUGAAAAAAUUAGAGUGCUUAAAGCAGGCUAUCGCCUGAAUAGAUUAGCAUGGAAUAAUAAAAUAGGACGGCAUGGUUCUAUUUUGUUGGUUUCUAGGAUCACCGUAAUGAUUAAUAGGGAUAGUUGGGGGCAUUAGUAUUCAAUUGUCAGAGGUGAAAUUCUUGGAUUUAUUGAAGACUAACUUCUGCGAAAGCAUUUGCCAAGGAUGUUUUCAUUAAUCAAGAACGAAAGUUAGGGGAUCGAAGACGAUCAGAUACCGUCGUAGUCUUAACCAUAAACUAUGCCGACUAGGGAUCGGAUGAUGUUAAUUUUUUAAUGACUCAUUCGGCGCCUUACGGGAAACCAAAGUGUUUGGG
rnacentral:rRNA from 1 species